GACGAACGCUGGCGGCGUGCUUAACACAUGCAAGUCGAACGGAAAGGCCCUGCUUUUGUGGGGUGCUCGAGUGGCGAACGGGUGAGUAACACGUGAGUAACCUGCCCUUGACUUUGGGAUAACUUCAGGAAACUGGGGCUAAUACCGGAUCGGAGCUCCUGCUGCAUGGUGGGGGUUGGAAAGUUUCGGCGGUUGGGGAUGGACUCGCGGCUUAUCAGCUUGUUGGUGGGGUAGUGGCUUACCAAGGCUUUGACGGGUAGCCGGCCUGAGAGGGUGACCGGCCACCUUGGGACUGAGAUACGGCCCAGACUCCUACGGGAGGCAGCAGUGGGGAAUAUUGCACAAUGGGCGGAAGCCUGAUGCAGCAACGCCGCGGGCGGGAUGACGGCCUUCGGGUUGUAAACCGCUUUCGCCUGUGACGAAGCGUGAGUGACGGUAAUGGGUAAAGAAGCACCGGCUAACUACGUG
rnacentral:rRNA from 1 species